rnacentral:rRNA from 1 species
GAUGAACGCUGGCGGCGUGCCUAAUACAUGCAAGUCGAGCGAACGGACGAGAAGCUUGCUUCUCUGAUGUUAGCGGCGGACGGGUGAGUAACACGUGGAUAACCUACCUAUAAGACUGGGAUAACUUCGGGAAACCGUAGCUAAUACCGGAUAAUAUUUUGAACAGCAUGGUUAAAAAGUGAAAGACGGUCUUGCUGUCACUUAUAGAUGGAUCCGCGCUGCAUUAGCUAGUUGGUAAGGUAACGGCUUACCAAGGCAACGAUGCAUAGCCGACCUGAGAGGGUGAUCGGCCACACUGGAACUGAGACACGGUCCAGACUCCUACGGGAGGCAGCAGUAGGGAAUCUUCCGCAAUGGGCGAAAGCCUGACGGAGCAACGCCGCGUGAGUGAUGAAGGUCUUCGGAUCGUAAAACUCUGUUAUUAGGGAAGAACAUAUGUGUAAGUAACUGUGCACAUCUUGACGGUACCUAAUCAGAAAGCCACGGCUAACUACGUG